rnacentral:rRNA from 1 species
CAGCCGCCGCGGGAAAACGAAGGGUGCAAGCGUUACUCGGAAUUACUGGGCGUAAAGCGUGUGUAGGUGGUUGUUUAAGUCUGUCGUGAAAGCCCUGGGCUCAACCUGGGAAUUGCGAUGGAUACUGGGCGACUAGAGUGCGGUAGAGGAUAGUGGAAUUUCCGGUGUAGCAGUGAAAUGCGUAGAGAUCGGAAGGAACAUCUGUGGCGAAGGCGACUAUCUGGGCCAACACUGACACUGAGGCACGAAAGCGUGGGGAGCAAACAGGAUUAGAUACCCCAGUAGUCCCUGUCUCUUAUAC